GACGAACGCUGGCGGCGUGCCUAAUACAUGCAAGUAGAACGCUGAAGAGAGGAGCUUGCUCUUCUUGGAUGAGUUGCGAACGGGUGAGUAACGCGUAGGUAACCUGCCUGGUAGCGGGGGAUAACUAUUGGAAACGAUAGCUAAUACCGCAUGAUAUUAAUUGUCGCAUGAUAAUUAAUUGAAAGAUGCAAUUGCAUCACUACCAGAUGGACCUGCGUUGUAUUAGCUAGUUGGUGAGGUAACGGCUCACCAAGGCGACGAUACAUAGCCGACCUGAGAGGGUGAUCGGCCACACUGGGACUGAGACACGGCCCAGACUCCUACGGGAGGCAGCAGUAGGGAAUCUUCGGCAAUGGGGGGAACCCUGACCGAGCAACGCCGCGUGAGUGAAGAAGGUUUUCGGAUCGUAAAGCUCUGUUGUAAGAGAAGAACGGGUGUGAGAGUGGAAAGUUCACACUGUGACGGUAUCUUACCAGAAAGGGCGGCU
rnacentral:rRNA from 1 species